rnacentral:rRNA from 1 species
GCAGCCGCGGUAAUACGUAGGUUGCAAGCGUUGUCCGGAUUUACUGGGUGUAAAGGGCGUGUAGGCGGAGAUGCAAGUUGGGAGUGAAAUCCCGGGGCUCAACCCCGGAACUGCUUUCAAAACUGUAUCCCUUGAGUGUCGGAGAGGCAAGCGGAAUUCCUAGUGUAGCGGUGAAAUGCGUAGAUAUUAGGAGGAACACCAGUGGCGAAGGCGGCUUGCUGGACGAUAACUGACGCUGAGGCGCGAAAGCGUGGGGAGCAAACAGGAUUAGAUACCCC